rnacentral:rRNA from 1 species
UACGGAGGAUCCAAGCGUUAUCCGGAUUCAUUGGGUUUAAAGGGUGCGUAGGCGGAAUAAUAAGUCAGUGGUGAAAUCCUUCAGCUUAACUGGAGAACUGCCAUUGAUACUGUUAAUCUUGAGUACAUUUGAUGUGGGCGGAAUAUGUCAUGUAGCGGUGAAAUGCUUAGAUAUGACAUAGAACACCAAUUGCGAAGGCAGCUGGCUACACGAAUAUUGACACUGAUGCACGAAAGCGUGGGGAUCAAACAGG